UACGUAGGGGGCUAGCGUUGUCCGGAAUCAUUGGGCGUAAAGCGCGUGUAGGCGGUCCGGUAAGUCCGCUGUGAAAGUCGAGGGCUCAACCCUCGAAUGCCGGUGGAUACUGUCGGGCUUGAGUACGGGAGAGGCGAGUGGAAUUCCUGGUGUAGCGGUGAAAUGCGCAGAUAUCAGGAGGAACACCGAUGGCGAAGGCAGGUCUCUGGGCCACUACUGACGCUGAGAAGCGAAAGCAUGGGGGAGCGAACAGG
rnacentral:rRNA from 1 species